rnacentral:tRNA from 1 species
GCCAAUGUAGCUCAGCUGGCUAGAGCAGCUGAUUUGUAAUCAGCAGGUCGUGGGUUCGAGUCCCUCUAUUGGCU